rnacentral:piRNA from 1 species
UACUCUUGGGACAGACGUCUUAGGACAGC